UCUUGUUCCUGAGUCGUGCCGCUCCAGCACCCUGUUCAUCCAGCCCAAACUCCGAUUGCGGCGGAGUGAGCUGAGAUGCGGUGCUCCCACCUCCGAGGUAAGUAUCUCCUCUCCUUUUCUCUCUUCUUCUUCUAUAUUUCUCCUCUAAAACGAUUGAUGAACGCGAAAAAAAAAAAAGAAAGGUAAAAAGAAUCGCAAAAAAAUGAACCCAAAAUCACCUUUUUUAUUUUUAUUUUUGCUCUGAAUGCGUAUUUUUUUUAUUCAAUAUCCAUGUAAAAGAGAAUCCCUUUACAAAAAUCUAAAAUGGCUUUAUAUAGCCGGAAAUAAAAACAGAAAAAUUCCCGACAUUCUCUCUUUUUUUUUGUUUUUAUAUUUCUGCUAUUUUUCUCUGUUGUCCUCGUGUAUUUUGCUGUUGCUGGCCCUUCUUUGUGUUUGUUGCGUUUGUUUGUCCUUUGCAGGUGUCGUACGAAGGCUAGCUGGGACGUUGCGCAGCUCGGCGCAGCGCAUGAGGCCGAGGGAAUGCCCUGGUGGUUGCGGCGCUGGAGGCUCGCCCUAGCUGCUUGGUGUAGUUGGGCUAGUCGUAUUCAGGCUAGGGUUUAGGCUUAAUGGGCUGGGGAUAUUGGGCUAGGCUAGUGGGUUAAAACGAUUUGGGCCUAUGUAUUUGGGUUUGGUUUGUAUUUUGGGUCUGAUGAGUUUUUUUUUUGUAAUUUUGGACGAGACUUUUAUAUUUUUAUUUAUUUGGUUCUUAUUUGUGCUUUUGGACCCGGGCAAAUUGGGCCUAUUACAUACAUGAAAUAGUUCUUUUAAUUAACAAAUAAGAAAAGGGUUUUUUUUUGGGUGAAUUUCAAGAAGAGGUCAAAGUCUUAAUAGCAACGCGAUUAGCGCGACUCGUACCCAGAUCACACCCAAAGCGAUGAAUACUCUAACCAUC
rnacentral:lncRNA from 1 species